GAUGAACGCUGGCGGCGUGCCUAAUACAUGCAAGUCGAGCGAACGGACGAGAAGCUUGCUUCUCUGAUGUUAGCGGCGGACGGGUGAGUAACACGUGGAUAACCUACCUAUAAGACUGGGAUAACUUCGGGAAACCGGAGCUAAUACCGGAUAAUAUUUUGAACCGCAUGGUUCAAAAGUGAAAGACGGUCUUGCUGUCACUUAUAGAUGGAUCCGCGCUGCAUUAGCUAGUUGGUAAGGUAACGGCUUACCAAGGCAACGAUGCAUAGCCGACCUGAGAGGGUGAUCGGCCACACUGGAACUGAGACACGGUCCAGACUCCUACGGGAGGCAGCAGUAGGGAAUCUUCCGCAAUGGGCGAAAGCCUGACGGAGCAACGCCGCGUGAGUGAUGAAGGUCUUCGGAUCGUAAAACUCUGUUAUUAGGGAAGAACAUAUGUGUAAGUAACUGUGCACAUCUUGACGGUACCUAAUCAGAAAGCCACGGCUAACUACGUGCCAGCAGCCGCGGUAAUACGUAGGUGGCAAGCGUUAUCCGGAAUUAUUGGGCGUUAAGCGCGCGUAGGCGGUUUUUUAGUCUGAUGUGAAAGCCCACGGCUCAACCGUGGAGGGUCAUUGGAAACUGGAAAACUUGAGUGCAGAAGAGGAAAGUGGAAUUCCAUGUGUAGCGGUGAAAUGCGCAGAGAUAUGGAGGAACACCAGUGGCGAAGGCGACUUUCUGGUCUGUAACUGACGCUGAUGUGCGAAAGCGUGGGGAUCAAACAGGAUUAGAUACCCUGGUAGUCCACGCCGUAAACGAUGAGUGCUAAGUGUUAGGGGGUUUCCGCCCCUUAGUGCUGCAGCUAACGCAUUAAGCACUCCGCCUGGGGAGUACGACCGCAAGGUUGAAACUCAAAGGAAUUGACGGGGACCCGCACAAGCGGUGGAGCAUGUGGUUUAAUUCGAAGCAACGCGAAGAACCUUACCAAAUCUUGACAUCCUUUGACAACUCUAGAGAUAGAGCCUUCCCCUUCGGGGGACAAAGUGACAGGUGGUGCAUGGUUGUCGUCAGCUCGUGUCGUGAGAUGUUGGGUUAAGUCCCGCAACGAGCGCAACCCUUAAGCUUAGUUGCCAUCAUUAAGUUGGGCACUCUAAGUUGACUGCCGGUGACAAACCGGAGGAAGGUGGGGAUGACGUCAAAUCAUCAUGCCCCUUAUGAUUUGGGCUACACACGUGCUACAAUGGACAAUACAAAGGGCAGCGAAACCGCGAGGUCAAGCAAAUCCCAUAAAGUUGUUCUCAGUUCGGAUUGUAGUCUGCAACUCGACUACAUGAAGCUGGAAUCGCUAGUAAUCGUAGAUCAGCAUGCUACGGUGAAUACGUUCCCGGGUCU
rnacentral:rRNA from 1 species